CAGAGCGAAGCUAAAAUAGUAAAGCAUCUCCCUUACACCGAGAAGAAGUCUGUGCAACUCAGACCACUCUGA
rnacentral:tRNA from 1 species